rnacentral:tRNA from 1 species
GGACCACCGAUGCAUUGGUAGCGCGACGGAGUGAUUAUCCGUAAGUACUCGGUUCGAUUCCGGGGUGGUUCA